rnacentral:rRNA from 1 species
CCUACGGGUGGCAGCAGUCGAGAAUCAUUCACCAUGGGGGAAACCCUGAUGGUGCGACGCCGCGUGGGGGAAUGAAGGUCUUCGGAUUGUAAACCCCUGUCAUGUGGGAGCAAAUUAAAAAGAUAGUACCACAAGAGGAAGAGACGGCUAACUCUGUGCCAGCAGCCGCGGUAAUACAGAGGUCUCAAGCGUUGUUCGGAAUCACUGGGCGUAAAGCGUGCGUAGGCUGUUUCGUAAGUCGUGUGUGAAAGGCGCGGGCUCAACCCGCGGACGGCACAUGAUACUGCGAGACUAGAGUAAGGGAGGGGGAACCGGAAUUCUCGGUGUAGCAGUGAAAUGCGUAGAUAUCGAGAGGAACACUCGUGGCGAAGGCGGGUUCCUGGACAUUAACUGACGCUGAGGCACGAAGGCCAGGGGAGCGAAAGGGAUUAGAUACCCGUGUAGUC